GAAUCUACUUCAAUUAACUAUUUUCGCGAGUGUUCUACUUGCAUCGGUAUACGCUAAACCGACCGCAAACACAAAAGGCAAGAAUUACAUUGUAAUUUCUUUAGAAGAAAAGACAUGGUUUGAAGCAAUGCAAUUCUGCCAUCUUGUCGGCAUGGAAUUGACCACGGUUGAAAACGCCGACGACGACUUAAAUCUAUACCGAACUAUUUAUGGCGCUGGAUUGGAACAAAAAAAGAUUUGGACCUCUGGAAACGACCUUGUUUCGGAAGGAUCUUUUAUCUUCAAUAGAAGCGAAUAGAAUUCUAUUUGAAAUUGUUAUAUAUCCCCACCAUGAUUAAAUAUCUGUCAAAUGACAAACGCCGCCAUUACCGACACGCUGUCAUCUGCGACCUCAACAAAGGUCAAUGGUCGCAUGCGUUAAAUUUAGUUUUUAAUACCGUGCUUGUAAAUACAGCCACAUCGAAAAUGCCGAUGCCGGGUGGAGUAUACCAACAGCAAGGCCCAUCAUGCUUCGACAAGAUGAAGAUGGGCUUCAUACUCGGUUUCUGCGUAGGCAUGGCGAGCGGCGCGCUAU